rnacentral:lncRNA from 1 species
AUGAUUCCCCAAGAAGCAGGCAAGAAACUGGGCCUGGAGGCCGAAUCCUCGGCUUGGCAUUCACAGUCUGGCGGAGGCACCAGCAUACGGCCGGUCCUCGCAGCACCAGGCGCAGCUCUGUGCGUCUGGCGCUUCGGGAAACCGAAAGGUGAGGGCCGGCCGCAGAACGCAGGCCUCCCGGCGGGCAGAGGGAGCCAACACAAGUUCUGGAGCUGGGGAAGACCGGGAUCAAAGCGCUCCGAGGCAGGCCGGGCGCACCAAAGGGAGGCUAGCGACUUGCAUCAGCACAGAUUCCGUGAUGCUCUGCAGACGUCUCGGUGCUGCUGGGCUUUACGGGAACCCACAAGAAAGGAAAAGGCCGGGGAGCAGGCAGGGCGGGGGCGGGAGAGGGCGCGAGGGUGCGCUCGCCCGCCCGCGCGCUCCCGGCGGCGCCGGCCGGGGCCUGGGCGCGCCCGGGACGGCGGAGGCAGCGCAGGAAGCUCCCUCUCCUUUCCCCCUCCUCCUUUCCCCUCGCAUUACUGGAAGAACUGUGUGGGAGAGACCCAGAAGCACCCGGAUUUUCGAACGCGGGGUGGGGGAGGACCAGGCAGCCGCUGGUGCUCAAAGGAAAACCAAAAGUGCAUCUGUUCGCGCCGCUUCAACACGCGGCUGUCCUCGGGAGGGUCUUGGGUGCCCCCGCCGCGCCUCCCCUUGCAGCCCCCCAAGAUCUCGCUAAGGCACCCGGGGGGCCGUGUGGCGCAGGAGGGGACGGAGAGGCGAGUGAGAAAGUGUCACGAUUUCUUUUCCUGCGCUCUCCCCGACACCGCCCCCGCCCCCAGUUUUCUGGUUUUGCCACUGCCGCUGGGGAAAGGGCUGAUGGGUUUUGCGUCAAAGAACUGCAUUUACUCAGUCCUGCUGGGAGAGGCACGUAAACACCCAGGCAGACAGGACUCAGGGGUGAAACAACAACAAAACAAAAACCCCCAGUCCCCGGCGGCCUGGGUGCACAUCCGCCGGCCGCACACCUCGCCCGGGCCGGCGGAGUUAAGGACUCUGCCCGGAGGGCGGCGGCGGAGGUGCGAGGGGUCGGGCCCGCCUCGCCUCGCUGCGCGCGUCCUUGGGGAUGGAGCUCAGGACAGAAUGUGUUUUAUAGCUGUAAACAAUGACCCCGAGUAUUGUUUGGGAUUACCGUAUCUUGGGGCCAUUGGGGCGGCCAGAUGCCGCCAGCCGUCCCGGAAACGCCAGCGCUUUAUAUAG